rnacentral:rRNA from 1 species
CCUACGGGGUGCACCAGUAGGGAAUCUUCGGCAAUGGACGAAAGUCUGACCGAGCAGCGCCGCGUGAGUGAAGAAGGUUUUCGGAUCGUAAAACUCUGUUGUUAGAGAAGAACAAGUAGGAGAGUAACUGCUCUUACCUUGACGGUAUCUAACCAGAAAGCCACGGCUAACUACGUGCCAGCAGCCGCGGUAAUACGUAGGUGGCAAGCGUUGUCCGGAUUUAUUGGGCGUAAAGCGAGCGCAGGCGGUCUUUUAAGUCUGAUGUGAAAGCCCUCAGCUCAACCGAGGAAGGUCAUUGGAAACUGGAGGACUUGAGUGCAGAAGAGGAGAGUGGAAUUCCAUGUGUAGCGGUGAAAUGCGUAGAUAUAUGGAGGAACACCAGUGGCGAAGGCGACUCUCUGGUCUGUAACUGACGCUGAGGCCAGAAAGCGUGGGGAGCAAACAGGAUUAGAUACCCCGGUAGUC